UACGGAGGGGGCUAGCGUUGUUCGGAAUUACUGGGCGUAAAGCGUACGUAGGCGGCUUUGUAAGUUAGAGGUGAAAGCCCGGGGCUCAACUCCGGAAUUGCCUUUAAGACUGCAUCGCUUGAAUCAUGGAGAGGUGAGUGGAAUUCCGAGUGUAGAGGUGAAAUGCGUAGAUAUCAGGAGGAACACCUGCGGUGUAGACGGCUUACUGGACCAUAACUGACGCUGAGGCACGAAAGCGUGGGUAGCAAACAGG
rnacentral:rRNA from 1 species